rnacentral:rRNA from 1 species
GCAGAGCACUCCUACGGGAGGCAGCAGUGGGGAAUAUUGCACAAUGGGCGCAAGCCUGAUGCAGCAACGCCGCGUGAGUGAAGAAGGCCUUCGGGUUAGUAAAACUCUGUCCUAAGGGAAGAAACAAUGACGGUACCUUAGGAGGAACGCCCCGGCUAACUACGUGCCAGCAGCCGCGGUAAUACUAGGGGGCAAGCGUUAUCCGGAAUCACUGGGCGUAAAGGGUGCGUAGGUGGCCUGACAAGUCAGGGGUGAAAGGCAUUGGCUCAACCAAUGUAAGCCUUUGAAACUGUUGGGCUUGAGUGCAGGAGAGGUAAGUGGAAUUCCUAGUGUAGAGGUGAAAUUCGUAGAUAUUAGGAGGAACACCAGUGGCGAAGGCGACUUACUGGACUGUAACUGACACUGAGGCACGAAAGCGUGGGUAGCGAACAGGAUUAGAUACCCUGGUAG